UAGCCGCAGUAUAUUGACUGUGCGAAGGUAGCAUAAUCAAUAGGUCAUUAAUUGUGAUCUGGAAUGAAUGGUUUGACAUAGGAUUAUCUGUUCUAUAGGUAAAUAUAAAUUUAAAAAAUUAGUUAGAAUGCUGAUUAGAAAAAAAAAGACGAGAAGACCCUGUUGAGUUUAAUAGGAUGGUCUUAUUAUAUUAGUUAGAAAUAGAUUGUUACUAUUUGGUUGGGGCAACUUUUGUUUGGCAUAAAUUAUUGAAAUGAUAUAGAACCAUUAAAUGUGAGAGUUAGAGUAAAUUACCACAGGGAUAACAGUUUAAUUUUAUCGUAGAGUUCUUAUCGAUGAUGAAGUUUGACACCUCGAUGUUGGAUUAUUAACCUGUUAGGAGCAGCGGCUUGGCAAGGUAGACUGUUCGUCUAUUAAAUAAUAA
rnacentral:rRNA from 1 species